rnacentral:misc_RNA from 1 species
AUCGGAUCGUUUUAGAAACAUCAGUGGCCAACAGAUCGCCAGAUCGUUGAGCUGCAUUGGCGGGAUUUCGCCGUCUUCGUUUCUCUUUCUUCGCGGACGAACACGCGCUGGGCCUGCAACGGCAGGAUCCAGGGUCCUUAACGGGAUGUGCGUUAGGGGCUUGUAGCUCAGUUGGUUAGAGCGCGCGCUUGAUAAGCGUGAGGUCGGAAGUUCAAGUCUUCCCAGGCCCACCACUUUCAUCGAGUGAGCAUUCGUCUUCUGGUUACGGGGCCAUAGCUCAGCUGGGAGAGCGCGUGCUUUGCAAGCAUGAGGUCGUCGGUUCGAUCCCGUCUGGCUCCACCAGAUGGUUUGAUCACCGAGAUCUUGACCGUCGUCCGCGAAACAUCACUUCGCAUCCUGCUAGUCUGGAUAGACAGCAGUUUGCGUGUUUUCUGACAUCGUAAAGAGGAGAUCGAUCCGAGUUGGGUCGUGCAGCAUAUCGUUGCGCGAGCCUUCAUUAUCUCCGGAUCAUUUCGGCGCUCGCUUCCAGCCGUGAGGUUGGAUGCGGGUUGUAAAUGAUCCUUUUAGCGAAGCUUGACCGCCUCGCUAUCGGAACGAUCUUACGAAGCAAGCUGGUCUUUCUAGUCAAUGUCCGGCUGCGGAUAGCGUUCAUCGAGGGCGCGUGCCGCAAGGCAAUUCUGCAGACAACAUUCUGCCGAGUGUGUGGACAUUGAUAAUGAGAGCAAUCAAGUGCCUUAAGGGUGUUCGGUGGAUGCCUUGGCGCUGAGAGGCGAUGAAGGACGUGCUACGCUGCGAUAAGCCGUGGGGAGCUGCGAAGAAGCUUUGAUCCGCGGAUUUCCGAUG